rnacentral:rRNA from 1 species
UACAGAGGGUGCAAACGUUUGCUCGGAAUUAUUGGGCGUAAAGCGCGUGUAGGCGGCUUGUUAAGUCGGUCGUGAAAGCCCACGGCUCAACCGUGGAAGUGCAACCGAAACUGGCAAGCUUGAGUUCUGAAGAGGAUGGCGGAAUUCCCAGUGUAGAGGUGAAAUUCGUAGAUAUUGGGAGGAACAUCGGUGGCGAAGGCGGCCAUCUGGGGAAGCGACUGACGCUGAGACGCGAAAGCGUGGGUAGCAAACAGG